UUGCUCUCAGAGUCAACAUCUAAUUUUUCGGCCUCAUCCAUAAUACUCUGCAAGUUAUCCCAAGAGCACUUUAGGAAGUCAUUAUUUUCAUUUCCUGAGGGAUUUUCAAUGGUAUCUGUGUAAUUAUCCAAUAAAGGCGAUGCAUAAACAAACUCUUUGUCUUGAUAACUACCCUCAGAUUCCUCGACUUCUUCUAAAACAUUAAAUUUAUUGUGUGUGUGAGUGAUGUCAACAUAGUAAUCAAC
rnacentral:lncRNA from 1 species